GAUGAACGCUAGCGGGAGGCCUAACACAUGCAAGCCGAGCGGUAGAGUUUCUUCGGAAACUUGAGAGCGGCGCACGGGUGCGUAACACGUGUGCAACCUACCUUUAUCUGGGGGAUAGCCUUUCGAAAGGAGGAUUAAUACCCCAUAAUAUAAUGAUUGGCAUCAAUUAUUAUUGAAAACUCCGGUGGAUAGAGAUGGGCACGCGCAAGAUUAGAUAGUUGGUGAGGUAACGGCUCACCAAGUCAAUGAUCUUUAGGGGUCCUGAGAGGGAGAUCCCCCACACUGGUACUGAGACACGGACCAGACUCCUACGGGAGGCAGCAGUGAGGAAUAUUGGACAAUGGGUGAGAGCCUGAUCCAGCCAUCCCGCGUGAAGGAGGACGGUCCUAUGGAUUGUAAACUUCUUUUGUACAGGGAUAAACCUACCCUCGUGAGGGUAGCUGAAGGUACUGUACGAAUAAGCACCGGCUAACUCCGUG
rnacentral:rRNA from 1 species